UAAUACGUAGGGAGCGAGCGUUGUCCGGAUUUAUUGGGCGUAAGGAGCGCGUAGGCGGCUCGGUAAGCCGGAUGUGAAACCUCCAAGCUCAACUUGGAGCGGCCAUUCGGAACUGCUGUGGCUAGAGUCUGGUAGGGGAACACGGAAUUCCUGGUGUAGCGGUGAAAUGCUUAGAUAUCAGGAGGAACACCAGUGGCGAAGGCGGUGUUCUGGGCCAGUACUGACGCUGAGGCGCGAAAGCGUGGGGAGCGAACAGGA
rnacentral:rRNA from 1 species